GCGAAAGCAUUCAUCAAUUACAUUCUUUUUAAUCAAGAACGAAAGUCUGGGUAGCGAAGACGAUUAGAUACCGUUGUAGUCUAGACCAUAAACGAUGACAUCUUAGGAUAUCAUUUAAUAAAUUUUCAUUUUUUUUAUAAUUUACUCUUGUUCAUUUAGAUAUUUGUAGUAAUACAUUAUCUUCCUAGACAAAUGAUGCACUAUGUGGGAAACCAACAGCAGUCUUCGUGGAGUGUAUGUUAGCAAUGAUGAAAUUUAAAAGAAUUGACGGAAGUACCACCACCAGGAGUGGAUUAUGCGAUUCAAAUUGACUCAACGCGAGGAAGCUUACCAGUGCCGAACACCGUGAGGAAAGACAGAUUGCAGCUCUUUCUUGAUUCUGUGCUUGUUAAAUGUAGUGCAUGGCCUUUGGGAAGUGAGUGGAUUG
rnacentral:rRNA from 1 species